rnacentral:rRNA from 1 species
UAAAGCGUGCGCAGGCGGUUAUGCAAGACAGAUGUGAAAUCCCCGGGCUCAACCUGGGAACUGCAUUUGUGACUGCAUAGCUAGAGUACGGUAGAGGGGGAUGGAAUUCCGCGUGUAGCAGUGAAAUGCGUAGAUAUGCGGAGGAACACCGAUGGCGAAGGCAAUCCCCUGGACCUGUACUGACGCUCAUGCACGAAAGCUGGGGAGCAAACAGGAUUAGAUACCCUGGU